UGUUGUAACAUAUUUAGUUAAAUUCAUAAAAUUAUAAUUCAUGAUUUUUAGAAUAUUUCCUUAUAUAGUGACAAAUUAUAGAUAAAGUUUAUAUUUUAAAGAAAACUUUGUGGAUUUUGGUGGUUUGGAAAGAGCUAUCUCUAUAGUUAUUUGAAAAGAGCAAGGUCAGGGCAAGGGUAAUGUUAGAACUAAGAAUAGCAUUAGAUGAGGGAUUUAGUAAUUUCAGAUGCUCCUUAAGACCAAGACUAUUUUUUCUUCUUUUUACAUCUUCUACAGGAUAGCAACACAGUGCCUUGAAUACUGUAGGUGCUCAAUAAAUGCUUGUUAAAUACACAAUGAGAGA